rnacentral:rRNA from 1 species
GAGACAGCAGCAGCCGCGGUAAUACAGAGGGUGCAAGCGUUAAUCGGAAUUACUGGGCGUAAAGCGCGCGUAGGUGGUUUGUUAAGUUGGAUGUGAAAUCCCCGGGCUCAACCUGGGAACUGCAUCCAAAACUGGCAAGCUAGAGUAUGGUAGAGGGUGGUGGAAUUUCCUGUGUAGCGGUGAAAUGCGUAGAUAUAGGAAGGAACACCAGUGGCGAAGGCGACCACCUGGACUGAUACUGACACUGAGGUGCGAAAGCGUGGGGAGCAAACAGGAUUAGAUACCCCCGUAGUCCCUGUCUCUUAUAC